rnacentral:rRNA from 1 species
AGCCUGAACCAGCCAUGCCGCGUGCAGGAUGACUGCCCUAUGGGUUGUAAACUGCUUUUGUUAGGGAAUAAACCUUCUUACGUGUAAGGAGCUGAAUGUACCUAAAGAAUAAGGAUCGGCUAACUCCGUGCCAGCAGCCGCGGUAAUACGGAGGAUCCAAGCGUUAUCCGGAUUUAUUGGGUUUAAAGGGUGCGUAGGUGGCUUAAUAAGUCAGGGGUGAAAGACAUCGGCUCAACCGAUGCAGUGCCUUUGAUACUGUUAAGCUUGAAUUAUGUUGAAGAUGGCGGAAUGAGACAAGUAGCGGUGAAAUGCAUAGAUAUGUCUCAGAACACCGAUUGCGAAGGCAGCUGUCUAAACAUGGAUUGACACUGAUGCACGAAAGCGUGGGGAUCAAACAGGAUUAGAUACCCUGGUAGUCCACGCCCUAAACGAUGAUAACUCGAUGUUAGCGAUAUACAGUUAGCGUCUUAGCGAAAGCGUUAAGUUAUCCACCUGGGGAGUACGCCCGCAAGGGUGAAACUCAAAGGAAUUGACGGGGGCCCGCACAAGCGGAGGAGCAUGUGGUUUAAUUCGAUGAUACGCGAGGAACCUUACCCGGGCUUGAAAGUUACUGAAUGAUCUAGAGAUAGAUCAGUCCUUCGGGACAGGAAACUAGGUGCUGCAUGGCUGUCGUCAGCUCGUGCCGUGAGGUGUUGGGUUAAGUCCCGCAACGAGCGCAACCCCUAUGUUUAGUUGCCAGCACGUUAAGGUGGGGACUCUAAACAGACUGCCCGUGCAAACGGAGAGGAAGGUGGGGACGACGUCAAGUCAUCAUGGCCCUUACGCCCGGGGCUACACACGUGCUACAAUGGCCGAUACAGCGGGCAGCUACCUGGCAACAGGAUGCGAAUCUCGAAAAGUCGGUCACAGUUCGGAUCGGGGUCUGCAACUCGACCCCGUGAAGUUGGAUU